ACUAAUUUGGCAGAUUUAAGUGCAUUAAAUUUAGGUUUUAUUUAUAUUGUUUUUCAAUAGUUAGUA
rnacentral:tRNA from 1 species